UGUAAUUCGGGCAGGAUGAAGAACCUGCCGCAGGUUCGAGUGGAGCAAAGCGACACAACGUUGCUUUAGCAACGACCCGCAGGGUGAGGCCAAAGGCCGAAUAAUCCUGCACGACCCACCA
rnacentral:sRNA from 1 species